UUUCACAAGACAUGGAACUCUAAAAUUUAAGUUGAGGUAUCGAUAUAAUCCUCUCGUUUUGAAUUAAUAAUCUCUCAUUACAAGAGAAAAGAAAGGUUACACAUGCUCUAAACUAAUUGACCAAUAACAAAUAUUUAUCUCAUGUAUGAUUCAUAAAAUAAAUUAUAAUUAGUGUAUUAAUCACUUCCAAAUCAAAAGACAAAGCAGACAUGGUUCAAAUGUACGUGCAGAUUAUAAAAAAACUAUAUCCAAAAACUCCUAGGGUUGGAUAAUAAAACUUGACAUCACUGCAUCAGAGUGACUGACAAACAACUUGAUUUGCAACAGUCAAUAGUAACAAAAACAGACUAUGAAAGUGAUCAUAACUUGUUCUUGUUCUUCUUCUUCCUUUGCCUUAUCUGAGGAAAUGUAAGUGGGAUAGGAAGUGUGGCAUAGGAAACCUUCUGAGAGGAUAUCAAUUUGCAACCCAAAUGCUCAAAGAUUGGUCUCAGCGUUAGCGUGGUCAUCCUUAGAUCCUUUGCUAUAUCUCUAUAGUCGGUGCGGAAAUCGUCAGAGAAAAGUGUGAGCACCAAAACAUAAGAAAUGAGAAGAUUCAGCUUUUCAGGUGGCAGCCUUCUUGAUUCAGAAACAUCAAACAUUGCUGUAAAUCUAUGAUGCAGAGUGUAGGGAAGUUUCUCGAACUUUGAAGAGGAAAUACCAUCCAUGGAGUGCUGAUCUUUAAACUUGACAAGAUAAUUAAUGAAUAAAAGUAUGCAAGAAAGCUUCUUCUUUUCGGAAUCUACCUCAAUCUUCUUUAAUCUGUUUAUCCUGUUGCGAAUAAAAGAUGGAUAAAGACUGAAGUUUGCUGCUUCUUCCUUUUGCAAACUAUAAUAAAUGUCUUGAAGGUAAUUCCAUUCGUCUGCAAGGAUGAUUUUGUCCAAUACAUAAGCCUCCUGAGGUGUAGUUGCAGAAGAAUUAUAUGGU
rnacentral:lncRNA from 1 species